rnacentral:rRNA from 1 species
UACGUAGGGGGCAAGCGUUGUCCGGAAUCAUUGGGCGUAAAGCGCGUGUAGGCGGCCCGGUAAGUCCGCUGUGAAAUCCCCGGGCUCAACCCGGGAACUGCGUCCGAUACUGGCAGGCUUGAAUCCGGGAGAGGGAUGCGGAAUUCCAGGUGUAGCGGUGAAAUGCGUAGAUAUCUGGAGGAACACCGGUGGCGAAGGCGGCAUCCUGGACCGGCAUUGACGCUGAGGCGCGAAAGCCAGGGGAGCAAACGGG